AUUGAACGCUGGCGGCAGGCCUAACACAUGCAAGUCGAGCGGAUGAAGGGAGCUUGCUCCUGGAUUCAGCGGCGGACGGGUGAGUAAUGCCUAGGAAUCUGCCUGGUAGUGGGGGAUAACGUCCGGAAACGGGCGCUAAUACCGCCUACGUCCUGAGGGAGAAAGUGGGGGAUCUUCGGACCUCACGCUAUCAGAUGAGCCUAGGUCGGAUUAGCUAGUUGGUGGGGUAAAGGCCUACCAAGGCGACGAUCCGUAACUGGUCUGAGAGGAUGAUCAGUCACACUGGAACUGAGACACGGUCCAGACUCCUACGGGAGGCAGCAGUGGGGAAUAUUGGACAAUGGGCGAAAGCCUGAUCCAGCCAUGCCGCGUGUGUGAAGAAGGUCUUCGGAUUGUAAAGCACUUUAAGUUGGGAGGAAGGGCAGUAAGUUAAUACCUUGCUGUUUUGACGUUACCAACAGAAUAAGCACCGGCUAACUUCGU
rnacentral:rRNA from 1 species